GAUGAACGCUGGCUACAGGCUUAACACAUGCAAGUCGAGGGGAAACGCCGGGGAAGCUUGCUUCCCCGGGCGUCGACCGGCGCACGGGUGAGUAACGCGUAUCCAACCUGCCUCUGACUGAGGGAUAACCCGUCGAAAGUCGGCCUACUACCUCAUGGCAUCGUCUGCGGGCAUCCAACGACGAUUAAAGAUUUCAUCGGUCAGGGAUGGGGAUGCGUCUGAUUAGCUUGUUGGCGGGGUAACGGCCCACCAAGGCUACGAUCAGUAGGGGUUCUGAGAGGAAGCCACCCCAGAUCUGAGCUGAGGCACAGUCCAAAACGGGACGCGAGGCAGGAGUGAGUACUACUAGUCAAUGAGGGGGAGCGUGAACAAGCCAAGUAGGGUACAAGAGGACGGGCAUAUGAGUUGUAAACUGCUUGGAUGCGGGGAUAAAGUGAGGGACGUGUCCUGCAUUGAAGGUACCGAAUGAAUAAGGACCGGCUAAUUCCGUG
rnacentral:rRNA from 1 species